AAAAAGAAACCAUGAAAUAGCCUGUAUUCAGACCUCCGUAAUUCUAUACAGGCUACCAUGAAACAAAGGGCAAGUACCAGAGCCUAAGAGGCACUUGCAGAGAAGAAGUCUGAAAAAUAAAGAAAAGCCAAAAAAGUAGAAGUGGGGCCGAUGAUGUGUGUGUUUAUUCACGCCUGGAUCUUCAAAAAUUACUAUCACGAGAAUUGUCAUGCUUGAGGAUCCAGCGUACUUUGCGGGCGCAAAGAUAAGUGGCUUUAGAUAAGCUGGAGGCUUCAAAUGAUCAAUUUAAAUAAAACAAUCAUAUUUCUUUUUAUUGCAAAUAUUUUAUUUUUAUCAAAAAAAACAUUCUUGGGAAAGAUCUUCCCUUCUGACUUUUCAUAGUUAUUGAUCUACUUGAAGAAACUUUGUAAUCCAGUUAUUUACAGAUAAAUCCGUUUUGGAUACAUGUAUAUUUAUAAUAAACAAUCAUAUUUCUAUUUAUUGCAAAUAAUACAUUUACUGUAAAUGAUUUAUCAAGAAAGCAUUUUUACUUGAAUCUCUCAAUAAAUCUAAUUCAAACAUUAUUUGGGAAAAUCUUCCCUUCUAACUUAAAUAAAAAUAUUCAAAUCCAGUCUCUUGUAAUGGUGAAGAUUAAGCUUUUAUUAAGGUGUACAGCUGGACCAUACCCUUCAAUUCUUUGAAAACAACUAUUUAUAACAGAAGACAUCAUAAACGUCAUUCCUUGCAAACAAACAUUUUAUGACAAAAAAAACUGGAAGACAAUACCCAAAGCUGCAGAUUGUUUGAUGGGCUAGAACAUUGUAAACCAAAAAUAUAGAGCUAUAAUCUAUACUAAAAAUUGCUGGGUAUAUUGUUUGACUAAACAUGUGCAACAGUAUGAUGGAUACAGAUAUAUUUUUUUCUAUUAAUUUAUUUUACCAGUUCUGAUAUGUGUUUAUGCAGUUAUCAUAAAGGAUCAUCUCUAA